CGUAUAUUCAGGAUUACAACCACCACAACUGAAUAUAUAACAGUCAUACAAUCAUACACCAUUCACCACAGGUUCACAUACAGGAUUUAAACAUAAAACCACAACUAUUAGUUAAAAUGUUUCCUACCCGGGAACUAAUUUUGAAAUGCUAAGUUAAAAAAAUCUCGAGAAAACUCUUUUGAAAACUAUUUCCCACAAGGAAACUCUUUUCUUUUAAAACACGCUACCACGAGGGGUAAAAAUCAUUUUCCAAUCCUUUAUAUGAAAACCACAAGUAUUUUAAUUAAUUUCACGAAACCAUGUGUAUACAAAUAUCCAAGUAAACAAAACCAACUGAACCAUAUGUCUAAGAAAUAUCAACAGAAGUAAAUAGGGUAGUAGCUAAACCAACAAACCAGGUCGGAAGCUCUAUCAACCGCUACCAACGUAUCUCACAUCUCGUCUCAACACUCACCGCCUGCAAUACCUGAAAAAUGGUGGGGGAGGUGAAAACAUGUAAACAUGUCUCCCCUCCUAGUGGGUACCGUAAGCCGACGAAGGCAAGGAGUACUCACUGGAUCAGGAAGAGAUAAACAACAAGGUAAACAAAUACAGAUACUGAUACGAAGAAAGUACAGUAGCUAUAACAGAUAAAUAAGAAGAGAUAAAUAAAACUGCUACUGUAAGGAAUGCAAAGCCGAGUAUG
rnacentral:lncRNA from 1 species